rnacentral:tRNA from 1 species
GGCCCGUUGGUCAAGCGGUUAAGACAUCGCCCUUUCACGGCGGUAACAGGGGUUCGAGUCCCCUACGGGUCACCA